AGAGUUUGAUCCUGGCUCAGAAUGAACGCUGGCGGCGUGCUUUACACAUGCAAGUCGAGCGAGGCGGGGUAGCAAUACCCCAGUCGAGCGGCGAACGGGUGAGUAACGCGUGGGUAACCUGCCUCGAGGUGGGGGAUAACCCGGGGAAACUCGGACUAAUACCGCAUAACAUCUACGGAUCAAAGAGGGCCGCAAGGCUCUUGCCGCGAGAGGGGCCCGCGUUCGAUUAGCUAGUUGGUGAGGUAACGGCUCACCAAGGCGACGAUCGAUAGCCGGCCUGAGAGGGUGAUCGGCCACACUGGAACUGAGACACGGUCCAGACUCCUACGGGAGGCAGCAGUGGGGAAUUUUGGACAAUGGGCGAAAGCCUGAUCCAGCAAUGCCGCGUGUGUGAAGAAGGCCUUCGGGUUGUAAAGCACUUUUGUCCGGAAAGAAAUGGCUCUGGUUAAUACCUGGGGUCGAUGACGGUACCGGAAGAAUAAGGACCGGCUAACUACGUGCCAGCAGCCGCGGUAAUACAGAGGGGGCAAGCGUUAUUCGGAAUUAUUGGGCGUAAAGGGCGCGUAGGCGGCCUGGCAAGUGGAAGGUGAAAUCCCUCGGCUCAACUGAGGAACUGCCUUCCAAACUGCUAGGCUUGAGUCCGGGAGAGGUGAGUGGAAUUCCCAGUGUAGCGGUGAAAUGCGUAGAUAUUGGGAGGAACACCAGUGGCGAAGGCGGCUCACUGGACCGGAACUGACGCUGAGGCGCGAAAGCGUGGGGAGCAAACGGGAUUAGAUACCCCGGUAGUCCACGCCGUAAACGAUGAGUGCUUGGUGUAGCGGGUAUCGACCCCUGCUGUGCCGAAGUCAACACAUUAAGCACUCCGCCUGGGGAGUACGGUCGCAAGGCUGAAACUCAAAGGAAUUGACGG
rnacentral:rRNA from 1 species